CUGCAGCCACAGUGAGUCACUGCAGCUCCCAGCAGCUUUGUCCACAGGUACAAGAUGCCCAUAUGAAUUAUACAUUCUGCUUGGCAACUCCAUACGAUCCCAGACUACUUCAGUGGCAAUCUUGGUUAGGAAACUACUGGCUCCAUUCCCA